GCGCUGGUGCGGGUUGUCGCGGGGGAUCUGGAAGAAGACAGCUGUAGGGAGAGGCCUGAUCCCAGGAGCGAGUUCUUUGGGGUACCUGGCAUCUACUUCAUUCCAAGCAUCAUCCUCCGAAAAUGCACAUAUUCCCUCUGAAGCAGAGCCAGAGGAAAUUGCACUGCCUUGCCAUCAUCUGGCUCAGCAGACUGGCUGGGGUAUCUAUCCUUCAGUAAGACAUAUCCAGGAGCCUUGAUUGCUAUGGAAGCCGGUCCAAAUUGGGACUAUGACUAUUCUAAAGCUACUUCCUCAGAAGGAUUUUCGGGGGUGGGCUCCAUAUGCCCAAAAGGCUAUGAGGGCGUUUGGGAACAGGAAAGAACUCCACACACAGGCCUGAAGGAUCCCAGCUGCCCAAGGCUGGCCGGCAAGUGCCUACGUAACACAUGUGCAUGCGGCAAAGGUCAGACGAGCUAGGGACCUGUUACAAGUAAAGUGUCUGGGGAGGCCUGGUCCCAGGAGCAGGCUGACAGGGGAUAUAAGGCAUCUGCCUAAUUCCAAGCCGUAAUCCACACAAAUGUGCAUAUUCUCCCUGAAAGUAAAGCUGGAGGUGUAUGGACUACCCGGCCAAGACAGGGAUGACCAGGCUGCUGGGACAUCCCACACUGAGACAUCUGAGAGCCCAGAUUACGGACUAGCUAGAAGAACCUUGAAAGGUAGAGAAAUAUUUCUCCUCUCCAAAAGUUGCUGUAGUCGGCAGAAUAAACUUCUCUGGCCGGACAUUGCUGCAGCUGAGAGACCCUGGGACAUCUUCCAAAAACCAGAAGAAGAUCAUCAGAAGAAAAUAUUCAUGGAACCAGUUCCUUGGGCUUGGCAACUCUUAUAAAUUUGAAAUAACCACAUUUCCUGGUCAAUUGCACUGUAAUGAACUUGAAUCAGAUCCUUAACCAUGGCCAUUACUAAGUCUUGUAUCAUUUACAGACAGUUAUAUUUUAUUUGGAUGCUUUUGCAAAGGGGUUCCUGAAGAAAUGUUUCAUCUUCAAGGAGAUUCAUGAAAAAGACAAAAAUAUAGGUGUCUCAUAAUUUAAAUAUCACAAAACUGAAGUUGGUAAAAACUUCCAGAAUUAAUGGGAAAAACAGGAUGAAGCAAAACAAGAAUUACUUGGGACAAAAUAAAUUGAAGAGAAUGAUUAUGAUUUUUAUGACUUUUUGUUUGAAACAUUACUAAGUUUAAAAAAAAUUUUUUUUCCAGAUUUAAGGAAAAAAUUUUUAAACUGCUAUACGGUAGCUUGGUAAAUUACACCUUUGUAAGCAGAACUGAAACAUUUAUCUUUUUUUCCCUAUCUGAUCCCUCCAGAAUUCAAUUCAGAAACAGUAUCCUUAUAUUUUCAUGACAAUAUAUGUAUUGCAUACAUUCAGUAAGAAUCUGCUCUUCUUGCAACAGGAUACAAUUAGAUACACUGGUUAUAUUAACAAGGCUUUGACAGGAAUGUCAUAUUUGAGAGAAACAUGCAUGGACUCAGAUAUGACCGGACAGCUUUAAGGAACUAAGGUUGGCUUUUUUGGAGGCAAAUAAAGCCCCUGGGAAAACGGCCUGACACCCUGCUUUACAGGGUUCCCAGAAGCCUUACCAGGUAGGUAAAGGCCAUUUCCUGGCAGGUGCAAGAACCCAAGGAUAUUUUGAGGACCAUGAAAAGAGGGAGUAACACCAAUCUAUAGGUAUUGCAGAUAAAGACUGACAGCUGUGUUUCUUAGUCUUGAGAGACUGUUGACGUUUCUCUAUGAAAAAUUCCAGCAAAAAUUUUAAGAAGUGUUUAUGACCAAAUGCUGUUCUUGCUGCAAAUAAUCAGAUCAAGUUUACUAAAACUAAACUUGUUUUAUAAAUAAGACUUUAUCUGGCUAAUUUUGAAAAUAGGGUGACUUCAGAGAGAAAAAUUAAGUCUCAGUAACACAGCUUUGUAGGUAUUAUAUCAUGGUUCUUUUGUCUUUGAGGUUUUGUUUCCUACCUGUAAACUGGACUAGAUCCCAGAUUCUAGUUUCCUCCAUAGUAUGGCUACAACUCUCCAAAAUAACAUUUCUAAUUUUCUCCCAUCCUUUUGACUUGGAAUCAUUGAGAACCAAAACUUCCCUUUUUUCUGAAGCUCUGCAAACCGAAUAUGAAUGACUUUAUAUAAACUUCAAGAAAAUCACCACAGCAGCCCAUAUAUAAUUUUCAUGCCUGCUGCUCUAUGGGCCACUCCAAAAGAUCACCAGAGACAUUCACACUACAAACCAGGAAACUCUGUCAGAUUGUCACUGCCUGCUCUCCAUCUGAAGAUGCUUUGAGCCUGCUAUCUAUGCAGGUGUUUCUCCACAGGCCUGGAGGUCCAUGGCUGCCCAAAGUUGGCAAACUAGGUAGAGCUAGAGAAAUCUGAACUGCUUGACCAUGGCUGGAUUGGGCAGGCUGGCCCAGGUGUCCCCCAAAAAGAGACAGCUGGGAACCUCGAUUGCUGCAGAAACCCAAGAUCACUCAAAAUAGUAGAGAAAAAAUUUUCUUCCCCAUCAGUUGGCAUAGGGGUGGGAUAAAUUUCCCAGACUGGAUACUGUUUGCUUUGAGGCUGCUGCAGCUGAGAGAUGCCAACACGUCUGAUCAACAGCUGGCAGAAGUUAUAGAUUUCAUUGUGUCUUUGAAGUGUGAACACAGCCCACAAUCUCUUGAAAAUGAAAAAGAAAAAAAUGGAAGGAAAGAGGCCUUGUUAAAAAUACAAAGUGCAAUUAGUACUCUUGCCCAAACUAUAGAUGACAGCUUCUAGAAGAUUACUUCCAGGGACAAAUACCAGUGUUAAGAGACCUCUCCAAAAAUAGCAAAUUACUUGAAUCAUCUGAGUAAAUUAAUAUUCCCCCUACGAUUCAAAAACUGUGAAUUUACAGGCUCUGGUUUAAGAUUGUGAUGUAAGAUCCUGAACUCACCUCCUCCGCAGACACACCAAAUAUACACCUAUUUCUAGAGUAAUUCCCUCUGAAAAACUGAGGGCUGAGAAGCUCCUGCACAAAGACUGAGAGAAGGGCAGGAAAGAUGGAGACACUGGAAGAAAGGAACUCUCACUUUGAUGCUAUAGAUUGCAGCAAGGAGGAAUAGAACCCAAGGGAUUAUGAACAGAUCUGUUUGCCUGGGGCACAGAAAAAAACCAAAAAACAAAAAACCUGCAGUUCAAAAGAUCAACUGGAAUAUAAAGGAACUAGCCCUAGAACCCUGCCCUGUGAUGAGGGGUGUUCUGGAACUCUGUGGGUCCAACAGGCUGCUGAGCACCUUGGUUUACAUUCCCCAGCCACCCUGAUAACGCAGAUGGAAGCAGCGUCCAGAGCCAUAGCUGUCCUUCUAUGUCCUCAGUGAACCCUGGGCCCCUACCACAUACCAGCCCCAGGUCCCCUGGGUACUGACAGAAAAGCUGUGGUUUCAAGAGCAGCUAGAAUGUAGAAGAUCCAGCCCUAGAACUCUGCCAGAUGGAAAGAGAGUGGUUGGAACCCUGGGUCAGAGGGGCUGGCGAGUACCACCGUUUAUGUUCCUUCUCCACCUUGGUAGAAAGGAUGGAAGCAGCGUCCAGGUGUCUCGGCUGGCCUACCACCUCAUGGGCCUGGAGCCCCUAGCCCACACCUGUCCCAGUCAUCUCAGUAAAGUGUCCCCAGUGCAGUGCACACCAGCCUAGCCCUGGGCAGUGUUUACUACAGCUCCAGCCAUGUCACCAAGGUGACAGAGAGGUAAAGCAUGCCAGAACACUCCAGAACCAUACCACUUUGGCUCCAGAUGACUUGUAGGGCAUCUCUGGUGCAGAGCACUCUGGGACCUCCCAGCUUAGGCCUGCCUCUGCUUCCGCUGCCCCACCAGGGCACCCCUUUUGCUGAGCACCCCAGGACACCCCAGCUUGCACCCAUUUCAACUUUAUCCAUCCUUCCAGGGCACCCUCUGCACAGAGAACCCUGGGACCACCAAUCUCAUGCCCACAUCAGCUGUGGCCAUCCCACCAGGACAGGCCCAGGAUGGUAUACCCCAGGACCCCCAUACCAGCCACAGUUCCAGCCAACCAGCCAAAGUCACCAGGCACACAUAAUCUACAUAGGGGUUGACCAUACACAAGACCACGUUCUCAAGUUUAAGAGAAGUAGCUGUUCCAUCUAAUUCAAAGAAGCAAACACAGAAAGUCCAGCAAAAUGAAGGGAUAGAAGAAUGUGCUCCAAAUGAAAGAACAAGACAAAGCCUCAGAAAUAAAACUAAAUGAAAUGGAGAUAAGCAACAUGCCUGAGAAGACAUU